UGGCACCAGACAGAACAGAGUCGGAAUCCUGCCUUGGUGACUGCUUCUGCGCAAUGAGCAUUUGAGCCGCCCAGGUGACCUCACGGAGCUCUGUCUUGGGACGCCCAGUGUCUGCCUCAUAGCCUGACCGGGAGGGUGAGGAUCAUCUAUGUGAAUCACCGGAUAGCACUGCCCCUGCAUCAGAAUGCACUUGACAUGAUACCACCAUUCCCUUUCCUUAGCUCUCGGCCUCUUCCUAUUUUGUGUUUCUUGUUAUUCCUGCGGUCUCCCCAGGUAGGAACUAAUCAUAUGUUGAGGGCAUCCUGAGACUGUUGUCCUGAACUCCCCCCAUCUCAUGAAACACUCAGAGUAUGUUUCUCCCUCCUUUUUUUUCAUGCUUCAGUUGGGUUUCUGGCAGACUCAGCAGCCUUCAGCCAGGAGGCCGAUUCCCCGCAUUGACGUGGGCGCCAUCUCCUGGUCAUCUAAGGAAGGUGGUAUGUGUGAGGGAAACGCAUGCACCGGGCACCCUCUUGGAUGCCACCGCCUUCUCCCUUGAGGACAAACCUGGGCCCAGCCCUUCCAACAAAGCAACAUGUAGAUGCUUGGGAACCACGGAGCAGACCCUUUUCCCUGCAAAGCACCAUGGAGAAUCCUUUCCACGAGGAAGGGACGUCUGGGACGAGAGCAGACAAACAGGGCAAGGGUGCAUGCAGAGAGGAACUGCCUCUGACCGGCCCCACUUGUCUUGCCUUCUCUCUUAGUUUCUGUUCUAGACAUUGAAAGCAAGAGUCAGCAGAUGCCUGCCCGGCUGGCCACCUCCUCUGUAGAUAAAGCUGUAUUCACACACGACAGCCACAGCUAUCUGUCUGCAUGUGGUGUCCUGCGAUGCCGUCCCAAGUGACAUCAUCGCACUCCGCGAUUGUUUUGGCAGGGGACAGGAAGCCGGUUACCGCCCCUGGAGGAUAAAAUCCUUACCUCCGAGACUGUGCCCCCUCUGGCUAUAGAUCAUCGCAUCCACACCCUGGUGUCAGUUCUUAUCUAUUCACAUGGAAACUUCGCUUUGCUUCUCCAGCCGGGGGCCUGUCUUCUGAGCUCCAGAACCAUCCAAACAUUAGACUGCCUACUCAGCGUCACCUCUGGAAUUUUGCAAACUCAACAUACUUAAAACCAUUUUCAUGGUUUUUUUCCCUUCCUUUCAUGCCCCCUGCCAGCCCCCUUCUCAUGCCUUACACACUAAACCCGUGUUCCCUAUUUCACCAGGAAGUGGCACAAGCCAAGAAACCGAGUAGGCUUCCCCACGCUGUCUUACAGCCACAUGUUCUUUUUAUUAUUAUUAUUAUUAUUAUUAAAUAUAAUUUAUUGUCAAA